rnacentral:rRNA from 1 species
CAGUCGCCGCGGUAAUACGAAGGGUGCAAGCGUUACUCGGAAUUACUGGGCGUAAAGCGUGCGUAGGUGGUGGUUUAAGUCCGUUGUGAAAGCCCUGGGCUCAACCUGGGAAUUGCAGUGGAUACUGGGUCACUAGAGUGUGGUAGAGGAUAGUGGAAUUUCCGGUGUAGCAGUGAAAUGCGUAGAGAUCGGAAGGAACAUCUGUGGCGAAGGCGGCUAUCUGGGCCAACACUGACACUGAGGCACGAAAGCGUGGGGAGCAAACAGGAUUAGAUACCCCAGUAGUCCCUGUCUCUUAUAC